UGAAGGCGGAGUCAAUUACUGGCUGCAAUCUGCUAAGAGAAGGCCCAGGGUAGAACUGGGGCCAGGAAUCCAACUGCAGACAUUAAAGAAAAUUUCAGAUUCAUGGUGAAGGUCUUCUAGCUUGGAAGGAGGCAGUCACUGACAGUUCAUCUCCACACAAGCACCCUGUGAGCAGGACUAUUAAUUUGUUCACCACACAUUCCUGGAAGAGCGCCUAGCAC
rnacentral:lncRNA from 1 species